UCUUCAAUAAUAGGGAGACAGAGCUUUCAGAGGCUGUAUUAAAUAGACUUACUCAGUUUGUUUCUGCUGUUGCAUUACACAACAAACCUGAAAGAAAAUAUAUAUACUGAGAAGCAUAUCUGGCGUAAUUCCCAGAGGGGGUUUGUGGAGGUCGCAGAAAGAGGCAGCUCAGGAUGAUGGACUCUUGACAUAUGUCACAGGAAUUGAUUUCAAGGCAUAUUAAAGGCACAAGCAGAGAUUCGUUCAGUUAAUACAGGGUCUUGAUAAUUUGCUGGGGCUGGCCUCAAACUUGGAAUACUUCUGCUUCUGACUGCAGAAUAGCUGGGAUUACAGCAAGAUCUGUCAUCUACUCUCAUGAUUUCCAUAUUUAAUUCUGAAGAUUAUUAAGUCUCCAGGAGUUACACAUCCUACCACAGGAUGAACACAUGGAAAAGCAUAUAGGUGCUGCCUGUAUUUGCUAGUGCACUAUUCAGAAUUGCAGUAUGAAUUAUUUUGCUACAAUCAUACAGUUCUGGCUUUCAUGAAGAAAUGUUUGUCAGUGGGAUUGUUGGGGCUGUUUUAAAAAGCCAGUGAACAGAAUUAGGAACAAUGUAUCAAUUCCCAUAAUAGAAAAUCAAAAAUGCAGAAUAAAGGGCUUCCCAGAAGAUGUGAUGUGUGAUCUUUUUCAAAAAUUUACUGAGCAAUUGAACCCAAACAGCAGACAGCAUACUGUAAA